CCUUUUGUUUUAAAAAAACUUUUCAAAGAUUUAGCCCUGCAUGUUUAAGUAUAAGCAAUUAUACAGCGAAACUGCGAAUGGCUCAUUAUAUAAGUUAUCGUUUAUUUGAUAGUACCUUACUACUUGGAUAACCGUGGUAAUUCUAGAGCUAAUACAUGCUAAAAAUCCCGACUCCGGAAGGGAUGUAUUUAUUAGAUUAAAAACCAAUGCCCUCUGGGCUCCUUGGUGAUUCAUAAUAACUUUUCGAAUCGCAUGGCCUUGCGCCGGCGAUGGUUCAUUCAAAUUUUUUCCCUAUCAACUUUCGAUGUUUGGGUAUUGGCCAAACAUGGUCGCAACGGGUAACGGAGGGUUAGGGCUUGACCCCGGAGAAGGAGCCUGAGAAACGGGUACUACAUCCAAGGAAGGCAGCAGGCGCGCAAAUUACCCAAUCCCGAUUCGGGGAGGUAGUGACAAUAAAUACUGAUACAGGGCUCUUUUGGGUCUUGUAAUUGGAAUGAGUACAAUUUAAAUCCCUUAACGAGGAACAAUUGGAGGGCAAGUCUGGCCCCCCC
rnacentral:rRNA from 1 species